rnacentral:rRNA from 1 species
CCUACGGGCGGCAGCAGUGAGGAAUAUUGGUCAAUGGACGCAACCCUGACCCAGCAAUGCCGCGUGAAUGAAGAAGGCUUUCGGGUUGUAAACUUCUUUUCUCAGGGACGAAUAAAGUGACGGUACCUGAGGAAUAAGCCACGGCUAACUACGUGCCAGCAGCCGCGGUAAUACGUAGGUGGCAAGCGUUAUCCGGAUUUAUUGGGUGUAAAGGGCGUGUAGGCGGGAUAGCAAGUCGGAAGUGAAAACUCAGGGCUCAACCCUGGGCCUGCUUUUUAAACUGUGUUUCUUGAGUGCUGGAGAGGUAAGCGGAAUUCCGAGUGUAGCGGUGAAAUGCGUAGAUAUAAGGAGGAACACCAGUGGCGAAGGCGGAUAGCUGGACAGUAACUGACGCUGAGGCGCGAAAGCGUGGGGAGCAAACAGGAUUAGAUACCCCAGUAGUC